GCUAGACCGCAAGGACUGGUGGAGCGCUUAGAAGUGAGAAUGCCGGUAUGAGUAGCGAAAGAUGGGUGAGAAUCCCAUCCACCGAAUGCCUAAGGUUUCCUGAGGAAGGCUCGUCCGCUCAGGGUUAGUCGGGACCUAAGCCGAGGCUGAAAAGCGUAGGCGAUGGACAACAGGUUGAUAUUCCUGUACCACCAAACUCCGUUUGAGCAAUGGGGGGACGCAGGAGGAUAGGGUAAGCGCACUGCUGGAUAUGUGCGUCUAAGCAGUUAGGCUGCAAGCGAGGAAAAUCCCGUUUGCGUGAAGGCUGAGCUGUGACAGCGAGGGAAAUAUAGUACCGAAGUUCCUGAUUCCACACUGCCAAGAAAAGCCUCUAGCGAGGAUAAGGUGCCCGUACCGCAAACCGACACAGGUAGGCGAGGAGAGAAUCCUAAGGUGAGCGAGAGAACUCUCGUUAAGGAACUCGGCAAAAUGACCCCGUAACUUCGGGAGAAGGGGUGCUCUUUGGGGUGUUAAAGCCUCGAAGAGCCGCAGUGAAUAGGCCCAGGCGACUGUUUAGCAAAAACACAGGUCUCUGCGAAGCCGCAAGGCGAAGUAUAGGGGCUGACGCCUGCCCGGUGCUGGAAGGUUAAGAGGAGGGGUUAGCUCACGCGAAGCUCUGAAUUGAAGCCCCAGUAAACGGCGGCCGUAACUAUAACGGUCCUAAGGUAGCGAAAUUCCUUGUCGGGUAAGUUCCGACCCGCACGAAAGGCGUAACGAUCUGGGCACUGUCUCAACGAGAGACUCGGUGAAAUUAUAGUACCUGUGAAGAUGCAGGUUACCCGCGACAGGACGGAAAGACCCCGUGGAGCUUUACUGUAGCCUGAUAUUGAAUUUCGGUACAGCUUGUACAGGAUAGGUAGGAGCCUUGGAAGCCGGAGCGCCAGCUUCGGUGGAGGCAUCGGUGGGAUACUACCCUGGCUGUAUUGAAAUUCUAACCCAUGCCCCUGAUCGGGGCAGGAGACAGUGUCAGGUGGGCAGUUUGACUGGGGCGGUCGCCUCCUAAAAAGUAACGGAGGCGCCCAAAGGUUCCCUCAGAAUGGUUGGAAAUCAUUCGAAGAGUGUAAAGGCAUAAGGGAGCUUGACUGCGAGACCUACAAGUCGAGCAGGGACGAAAGUCGGGCUUAGUGAUCCGGUGGUUCCGCAUGGAAGGGCCAUCGCUCAACGGAUAAAAGCUACCCCGGGGAUAACAGGCUUAUCUCCCCCAAGAGUCCACAUCGACGGGGAGGUUUGGCACCUCGAUGUCGGCUCAUCGCAUCCUGGGGCUGUAGUCGGUCCCAAGGGUUGGGCUGUUCGCCCAUUAAAGCGGUACGCGAGCUGGGUUCAGAACGUCGUGAGACAGUUCGGUCCCUAUCCGUCGUGGGCGCAGGAAAUUUGAGAGGAGCUGUCCUUAGUACGAGAGGACCGGGAUGGACGCACCGCUGGUGUACCAGUUGUUCUGCCAAGAGCAUCGCUGGGUAGCUAUGUGCGGAAGGGAUAAGUGCUGAAAGCAUCUAAGCAUGAAGCCCCCCUCGAGAUGAGAUUUCCCAUAGCGUCAAGCUAGUAAGACCCCUGAAAGAUGAUCAGGUUGAUAGGUUUGAGGUGGAAGCGUGGUGACACGUGGAGCUGACAAAUACUAAUCGGUCGAGGACUUAACC
rnacentral:rRNA from 1 species